CAACGUGUGCCGCUUCAUAACACUGUAAAGGAAAUGACGCCAUACAUCUCAAUAAACAAGUGCCAAAAAAUGAGUCAUUUAAAGAGUGCACACUCAAAACAACAUCACUUGGUGACAUACAGCAACCAUGGCACGUGGAUCCCGAAGGGUUCCAGUUCAGUGUGAAGACAUUGAGAAAAUUUCAGUCGAGUGUCAGGAUGACCAAAUCGGUUUACAUGCUGAAGUGGUUUAUGAUCAAGGAUCUUUUCCAUUACGGAGGUGCACUCCAUUUGUGACUGCAUCACAUCAUCAUGGAGAAACACAAAAUCACAUUGCUGCUGGUCAAGUUCAGAUUUCAUUUGCUGUGAACAGACAUAUCAGAGCAUCUGCUGGAUUCUCCACUAACACAGAUGUUAUGGAUGCUGAAAGCCUAACAUUCACAGAUGGGCCCUCUACGGGUUGUAGGGCACAGGUUGAGAAUGAGAUAGGAAGCAACGGCCGAGAACUGAUGAAUGGAGAUGAACGCAAAAAAAAGGAGAAGCCGGUGCAUCCAAAAGGAAAGAAGAAAAAACUUCGAAAGAGGGCAAAAAAACAAAUCAAAUCCCAAAAAGAUGAAACCAAUCUCUAACUUUGAUGAAAAGUGCAUUUAUCACUUUUGCAACACUUUCUUGCUUUUAGCAUUUUUGCUAUUUUAAUCUUGAAUAGUAGUACAAUUGCAAUGUACUGUAUAGUCAAACGCUAGAUAAAGUAUGUUUAAUAUUACAAUUUUUAAAUUGUUUUUUAUGAUAUUUUUGAUGCUAAGCCUUUAUUAUGAAUUAGUUUUGAUAAGCUUGAUUAAAAUUUAAACUGAACUGUUUUUAUGCAACUGUUUUUUUUUUUUACUCAGUAAAUAUAUAUAUAUUCCCUCCACA